GUGCCAGCAGCCGCGGUAAUUCCAGCUCCAAUAGCGUAUAUUAAAGUUGUUGUGGUUAAAAAGCUCGUAGUUGAACCUUGGGCCUGGCUGGCCGGUCCGCCUCACCGCGUGCACUGGUCCGGCCGGGCCUUUCCCUCUGUGGAACCCCAUACCCUUCACUGGGCGUGGCGGGGAAACAGGACAUUUACUUUGAAAAAAUUAGAGUGCUCCAGGCAGGCCUAUGCUCGAAUACAUUAGCAUGGAAUAAUAAAAUAGGACGCGCGGUUCUAUUUUGUCGGUUUAUAGGACCGCCGUAAUGAUUAAUAGGGACAGUCGGGGGCAUCAGUAUUCAACUGUCAGAGGUGAAAUUCUUGGAUCAGUUGAAGACUAACUACUGCGAAAGCAUUUGCCAAGGAUGUUUUCAUUAAUCAGGAACGAAAGUUAGGGGAUCGAAGACGAUCAGAUACCGUCGUAGUCUUAACCAUAAACUAUGCCGACUAGGGAUCGGACGGUGUUAUUCAUGACCCGUUCGGCACCUUACGAGAAAUCAAAGUGCUUGGGCUCCAGGGGGAGUAUGGUCGCAAGGCUGAAACUUAAAGAAAUUGACGGAAGGGCACCACCAGGGGUGGAGCCUGCGGCUUAAUUUGACUCAACACGGGGAAACUCACCAGGUCCAGACACAAUAAGGAUUGACAGAUUGAGAGCUCUUUCUUGAUUUUGUGGGUGGUGGUGCAUGACCGUUCUUAGUUGGUGGGGUGACUUGUCUGCUUAAUGCGAUAACGACGAGACCUUAACCUGCUAAAUAGCCCGCAUUGCUCCGGCAGUGCGCUGGCUUCUUAGAGGGACUUCGGCUCAAGGCCGAA
rnacentral:rRNA from 1 species